rnacentral:tRNA from 1 species
GGCUAUGUAGCUCAGCUGGUUAGAGCGUCGCACUCAUAAUGCGGAUGUCGGUGGUUCGAAUCCACCCAUAGCCACCA